rnacentral:rRNA from 1 species
UUGGAGGGCAAGUCUGGUGCCAGCAGCCGCGGUAAUUCCAGCUCCAAUAGCGUAUAUUAAAGUUGUUGCAGUUAAAAAGCUCGUAGUUGAAUUUCGGGAUUAAUAUGUUGGUCGUGCCUUGGUACGUACUGGCGUCAUUGGUUUCUACCUUCUGAAGAACCUCGAUGUCAUUAAUUUGGUGUCUUGGGGAAUCAGGACUGUUACUUUGAAAAAAUUAGAGUGUUUAAAGCAAGCUCACGCUUGAAUACAUUAGCAUGGAAUAAUGAAAUAGGACGUUUGAUUCUAUUUUGUUGGUUUCUAGGAUCGACGUAAUGAUUAAUAGGGAUAGUUGGGGGCAUUAGUAUUCAAUUGUCAGAGGUGAAAUUCUUGGAUUUAUUGAAGACUAACUACUGCGAAAGCAUUUGCCAAGGAUGUUUUCAUUAAUCAAGAACGAAAGUUAGGGGAUCGAAGACGAUCAGAUACCGUCGUAGUCUUAACCAUAAACUAUGCCGACUAGGGAUCGGAUGAUGUUAAUUUUUUAAUGACUCAUUCGGCGCCUUACGGGAAAC